ACGGAGGGUGCAAGCGUUGAUCGGAAUUAUUGGGCGUAAAGAGCGUGUAGGCGGUAUGGUAAGUCAGAUGUGAAAGCCCUGGGCUCAACCCAGGAAGUGCAUUUGAUACUGCCAUUCUUGAGUAUGGGAGAGGAGAGUGGAAUUCCUAGUGUAGAGGUGAAAUUCGUAGAUAUUAGGAGGAACACCCGUGGCGAAGGCGGCUCUCUGGACCAAUACUGACGCUGAGACGCGAAAGCGUGGGGAGCAAACAGG
rnacentral:rRNA from 1 species